UUCAAGGAGAAGGAAGUGGAACGGAUAACCAAUUUGGUGUAAUUUAUAAGAAUUACCGGGAGGGGUGAAGGGAAGUAGCCCAAUCAAGCAGCCAAUAGGGAAGCAGAAAGCAGACUCCGUUUGCAUCCUGCACUGCGAGGAAAUGACGGAUUCCGAAAGUACCUACCAAUCGCUGGGAGCCACAUUAAAGCCCCUUAUUUGCAUGCCAGGAUUUUUAAAGAAAGAACCGUUUCGGACAGAACGCUGUUUUGUUUUGCCUUUUACUGAAUGGCAUUUUUUUUUAUUUUCAGCCUAAAGAAGGGGAUGGGGGCCUCUUCCCCCCCCCCCCCAGUUUGGAGCUGGAAGGGAAAUCCUCAGAAGUACCCAGACGGCCUGCAGAGGGUCUCCAGGAGAUGUAGAGUUGCUCCCGCUCAAGGCCAGACUUCCAAAAAACUGUUCCUAAGGCCGCCUGCCUUCUCUGCUACGUGGUCGUCGUGGCCUUCGGUGCGGCUUCGCCCCACCCCCAGCCGCCUCCGCUCUUCGGAAUCCUGCGUAACCGAGGACUGGAAUAGAUUUGUCUUCUUCCUCUUGACCUACAGGAGGCAUCCGAUACCGCCUUGAAAUAUGCUCCCUGGGCUUGCAAAAUGUCCUCCGACUUUACUCCUCCCGGUCCUUUUCCUCUAUCGGUCCCCGCUUUCCCGCGUCCGUCUGGGCUCUGUCUCCUAUCCAACACCCCCCUCCAUCCUUUACUCUUCCCGAGGAGUCUUCCCACUUCCAUGCUUUAAAUUACAGACAUCCAGAUUUGUUCCAGAAGCUUAGAUCCUUACACCAACUGCUUACUGGGAACUUCAAACCAUCUGUCCCAACAAUUCGACCUAUCCAAAUGCGAACUCACCCAAACAACCCCCUGUCGCCCGUUUGCUCUCUUUCCCAGAAUUACAACCUAAGCCAGAAUCUACACCCACCUGCAUCUCAACAGCAUAUCCGGUUACUUCCGUAAGGUUUCUUCAGCCUUUUCUCCGUGCUCCUGUCUGCCUCCUCAUUGCUCUCUUAGACUUCAGCAGUAGCCCUGCAGACCUGUUUUCCUUAAUCUUCCAACUUCCUUCUAGAGAAACCUUUCCUGAAAGUUUUAUUUCUUCCUCCUCAGCUUCCCACUCUGGGGUGUUCCACAUCCCUCACACCAUUUGCACCCUCUCCUGAGUAUCCCAUAAGGACAGGAGGUAGAAUACAAUAGAAAAAAGAAUAGACUUAAAUUUUAUUCCUUGAGCUCAUUUCUGAUAUUCUUUAUCUUCACCUUUAUUAAAUACAGGCUACCUACCAGGCAAUGGGUAUACCGGUAGCUGAAAACUAGAAAAUAGAGAAAAUCUAAACUCUGGCAGUUAAUAUCAACUAUCUGUAGAGAUCCCUGGUAAGAACGCUGGUAUAGAUUUGUGAAGGUAAUUCUAACUCAAUCAGCUAUAUCAUUUCAGAAGAUGCAUGUGUUAAUAGAAAGAUGUGGUCCACACAGAGUCAAAACAGGGCAAUUCCAGUAGGAAUGUGUUGUUUCUUCAGCAUUAAGCAUGUAUAUUAUGUCUGCUAGACACAAAGGUUUGGGCUAUUAUAGAAGGGUCCUUGGUUGUGAAAACAUUAGCUUUUUCUCACAACCUGGGUGAAAUAGUUCUAAAGACUAACACUCAGCUCAUAUUCUAGGCUCAACCACUUUCCAGUUAUUCUACAAGAUAAAAAUAUGAGACUGAGAAGGGAUGAGGCAAUUAUGAGAAGAUACAUCACUAGAGGGGAAUGAAAUUACAUUCUAGGCUAUUCAUAAAUUUCUGGUGUUUUGUUUUGUUUUGCUUUGUUUUUUUCCGUGAUUCUCUCCCCAAUAAGCCAGUCCACUCUGGAAGUUCUUUUUUUUUUUUUUUUAAAUAUUUUAUUUAUUCAUGAGAGGCAUAGAGAGAGAGGCAGAGACAUAGGCAGAGGGAGAAGCAGGCUCCUUCUGGGGAACCUGAUGCAGAACUUGAACAGAGGACCCCAGGAUCACAACCUGAGCCAAAGGCAGAUGCUCAACCACUGAGCCACCCAGGUGCCCCAACUCUGGAAGUUCUGAUAGUGUUAACUUUUCAGACCGAGGCUGAAACCCAAGAUAAUGGGGACCCCACUACAAAUCUGUCACCUUGAGUGGCCCUGCUUGAGGGCACAGCUGACCUCCCCCUCUCUUUGACCUCCUUUUUACUUCUAUCACAGUGACCCUGUGCUGUUAGGAAAGGUGAAGGACAAAGAGAUGAUAUGGAACCUUAUUAUGUGAUAAACCCUAUGCUAGGGGCUAUGAUGCAGAUGCAAUUAUUUGUGUUAUAUAUAGAUAAGGAAAGUGAGACUCAGAGAAGCUAAAGCACUUGGUGAAGGUGACACAGCCAUUUACUAAGACAUGAUUAGAACUCAGGUCUGCCUGACUCAAAAAUUGUGCACUUCACCACUUCAUUCACACUGCUUUACUCACCAGAUGUUGGGCUUCAUGAAGCCACUUAACUUGUACAGCUUCCCUUUCUUCCUCUAUUAAAGAGAAAAAGAGAAUGAGAGAAAAUUAGAUUUAGUAGUUUAGAUUCAAUCCAGCUAUAAAACCCUAUUAGAUAAGUCUAGAUAGGCCAUUAUCCUACAAAUUAUAUGAGACUCAAUUACUAUCUAUUGCUCCCCCAAGCUCUUUUCCCAGCAUUCUUACCAGAAGUGUUAAAACAUGAAAUAGAGCAGGCCAUCCCUAAAAGUAGUGCACUAUCACAGACAAAUAGGCUGGAUCUUAUUUCCUUUAACAAAAAGGCAACUGAGUUCCUUCCCAGGCAAUCUUGUCAAUCAAGCAUUUAUUUUGCCUUCUCACCCCAUUCCACCACUCUAACCAUAGUCCUCUCUCUUGCCCUGUCCCUCCACCUCUCUCACCAUGACCCUCAGCCUCCUCCAUACUGAGCUACACACCAUUCAGGAAAGGCCUUUCCACAGUUACCUGCCAUUGCACAUACUGUGGCCUUUGGCAAGAAGCUUCGUCCUCCUCUUGAGCUAGCAGAAUCCUCCUCAUCCGGCUGGUUCUGCCCAGAAAUCACCUGCUCCUUCAUGAAGUCUUCCUUUCCACUACCCACACAGCCUCCAUAUGCCCACCUCUCUGUUCAAAUCCUGGUGAUAGCACUUACCACUCUGUACCAUGCUUGGACUUUGCUCUCGCAUCCUUUCCGUGACCCCCUCAGGAGACAGACCAUGUCUUUUUGAAUCUGAGUCCUUAAUUCCUUCUACCUGGCUCUUCAUAGGGUAAUUAAAUGUUUGGGGCAUGAAUAAAUGGCAUA